rnacentral:rRNA from 1 species
ACCCCUACGGGGGGCAGCAGUAAGGAAUAUUGGUCAAUGGAGGCAACUCUGAACCAGCCAUGCCGCGUGCAGGAAGACGGCCCUCUGGGUUGUAAACUGCUUUUGUACGGGAAUAAACCUCCGAUCGUGAUCGGAGCUGAAUGUACCGUAAGAAUAAGGAUCGGCUAACUCCGUGCCAGCAGCCGCGGUAA